AGCGAACGCUGGCGGCAGGCCUAACACAUGCAAGUCGAACGAACUCUUCGGAGUUAGUGGCGGACGGGUGAGUAACACGUGGGAACGUGCCUUUUGGUUCGGAAUAACUCAGGGAAACUUGUGCUAAUACCGAAUGUGCCCUUCGGGGGAAAGAUUUAUCGCCAUUAGAGCGGCCCGCGUCUGAUUAGCUAGUUGGUGAGGUAACGGCUCACCAAGGCGACGAUCAGUAGCUGGUCUGAGAGGAUGACCAGCCACACUGGAACUGAGACACGGUCCAGACUCCUACGGGAGGCAGCAGUGGGGAAUAUUGGACAAUGGGCGAAAGCCUGAUCCAGCCAUGCCGCGUGAAUGAUGAAGGUCUUAGGAUUGUAAAAUUCUUUCACCGGGGACGAUAAUGACGGUACCCGGAGAAGAAGCCCCGGCUAACUUCGUG
rnacentral:rRNA from 1 species